UACGGAGGAUCCAAGCGUUAUCCGGAAUCAUUGGGUUUAAAGGGUCCGUAGGUGGAUCAAUCAGUCAGAGGUGAAAUCCUGCAGCUUAACUGUAGAACUGCCUUUGAUACUGUUGAUCUUGAGUCAUUAUGAAGUGGUUAGAAUGUGUAGUGUAGCGGUGAAAUGCAUAGAUAUUACACAGAAUACCGAUUGCGAAGGCAGAUCACUAAUAAUGUACUGACACUGAGGGACGAAAGCGUGGGGAGCGAACAGG
rnacentral:rRNA from 1 species